AAGCAUGUGGGGACAACAGACUGUGGGAGGGUUUGAUUGAUAUGUCCGUAAACACACCAGCCAGCUGGUCUGCGCAUGCUCUGUGGAUAUGGCUAGGGUUGCCAUCUGGGCUGGUAGCCUUGCAAGGGUUAACACAUGUUUUCCUCAAGUUGGCCACGUUGGCUUUGGUUGCAGGCUGUGUCAGAGACACUGUAUUGUCCCCAAAGCGAGCAAAGAAGUUGUUUAAUUUGUCUGGGAGCAAGACGUCGAUGUCUGCGACUGGGCUGGUUUUGUCUGUUUUUCAGCAUAAAGUACUCUUUAGCCACUUAGUGUGGACACCAGGUGAGACCACACACAAUCAGUCUCUCUUCUUCACUUCAUCCCUCUCCCCCUUCUCCCUAAAUCAUCUAGGUUAUAUCUGCCAUUUUGUAUAACCCCUCAUGCAUCUGAACUGGCUGACACAGAUGGCAUAGCAUGAUCAUAGGUAUGUUUUGAUGUGAGAGAGGAAGCCUGUCCCAUCAUCGCCACCUCACACGCUCUUAAGAUUUGGGCCCCCAGUUGGCCCGAAGGUUAGGAGACACUGAUUGUGAUGAACUGAGAUAAUAUUAGGGUAGCACUGUAAUUCAUUAAUCGGAUGCUGUCUACCGCUGGUCUUACCACUUUCCCUUUGUCUUCCACACCUCUCUCCCCACCUCGUCUUUCUUACUUCUUUAAUAAUGCACACCAUAUGUUCAUUGAAGUACAGAUUGAACUUGUAUCUAUAUUAUAAUAUUAUAAUGCAUGUAUGAUGUAUUUAUAACACCUGGCUAAUGAACGUCUUUCAAUAAAUGUUUCACAUUCUCCA